GAUGAACGCUGGCGGCGUGCCUAAUACAUGCAAGUCGAGCGAACAGACGAGGAGCUUGCUCCUUCGACGUUAGCGGCGGACGGGUGAGUAACACGUAGGUAACCUACCUAUAAGACUGGGAUAACUUCGGGAAACCGGAGCUAAUACCGGAUAAUAUUUCGAACCGCAUGGUUCGAUAGUGAAAGAUGGCUUUGCUAUCACUUAUAGAUGGACCUGCGCUGUAUUAGCUAGUUGGUAAGGUAACGGCUUACCAAGGCAACGAUACGUAGCCGACCUGAGAGGGUGAUCGGCCACACUGGAGCUGAGACACGGUCCAGACUCCUACGGGAGGCAGCAGUAGGGAAUCUUCCGCAAUGGGCGAAAGCCUGACGGAGCAACGCCGCGUGAGUGAUGAAGGUCUUCGGAUCGUAAAACUCUGUUAUUAGGGAAGAACAAACGUGUAAGUAACUGUGCACGUCUUGACGGUACCUAAUCAGAAAGCCACGGCUAACUACGUG
rnacentral:rRNA from 1 species